UACGUAGGGGGGCAAGCGUUGUCCGGAAUCAUUGGGCGUAAAGAGCGUGUAGGCGCCAGAAAAGUCCGCUGUGAAAACUCGAGGCUCAACUUCGAGCUGUCGGUGGAAACUUUCUGGCUAGAGUCCGGAAGAGGAGAAUGGAAUUCCUGGUGUAGCGGUGAAAUGCGCAGAUAUCAGGAAGAACACCCGUGGCGAAGGCGGCUCUCUGGGACGGUACUGACGCUGAGACGCGAAAAGCGUGGGGGAGCGAACAGG
rnacentral:rRNA from 1 species